rnacentral:rRNA from 1 species
UACGAAGGGGGCUAGCGUUGCUCGGAAUCACUGGGCGUAAAGGGUGCGUAGGCGGGUCUUUAAGUUAGGGGUGAAAUCCUGGAGCUCAACUCCAGAACUGCCUUUGAUACUGAGGAUCUUGAGUUCGGGAGAGGUGAGUGGAACUGCGAGUGUAGAGGUGAAAUUCGUAGAUAUUCGCAAGAACACCAGUGGCGAAGGCGGCGACCUGGGCCAAUAUUGACGCUGAGGUGCGAAAGCGUGGGGAGCAAACAGG